ACUCUUCCCCCGUCUUCCCCUCUCCCCCUCUCACCACUCACUUAGCAAUAGCUAGGGUUUUAUUAUCUUUCUCUCCAUUGUAUUAGAAGCCCUAGCUUUGAAACUCCCAUCCCCAACAACAACAAUCACCAUCAGUGUUGGAUUUGCCAUCACCGAUUCGCCGUUGCCCGUCGCGCAGCACCUCCUUCUGUCGCAGAACCACCACCUUAGUGCCGACGAUGGCAGAUCUUGAAGGAUGACCAAACCCUAGAGAGCUACGGGUAAUUCAAUCGAUUCUCACCGUACUCAUUUUUUGUAUAUGUGAAUGUAGAUAUAGCUUUCAUAUGAUACUUUCCAACCAUCAAUGCCGGCUCUAAAAAUCAACAUCUUUAGUGGGUUUUAUUGAGUUUUGUCUCAUACGAACUUGACAAGUAAAGCAGAGCUUGAAGCAAGAAUCAAUGGAAUGGGUCAUAUGGCCACCCAAGGUUGCUUGAUCUGAGAAGGUGAUUUGAUCGGAACCGAAUUGGUCCUCAAAAUUGUUCCGAACUAGAGGAAGUUAAUAGCGUCAACUUUGUAAUCUAAUCCAAUUUAUAUAGAGGUUGACAAAUUCGGUGAGGAAUUAGUAAAGCAUUCUGAGAAGUCAUUGCCCUUAUUAUUGGUCACUAUUAAUGGUUUAUUUUCAAAAUUGGAGGCGUCAAUUGGCCAUUUUCAUACAGUGUGUCAGGUCACUUCUCUCACUAAAGACCUACUUUGUUUUCCUCUAGCUUUCCCUGUUAGAGAUGCUAUCAACUUAAUUUAUGAAAAUCUACACAAGCUGGAUUCUUACUUAAAUGUCAUUGUAAGAGUCUGAACAUUCUUACUCAUGCUUUCUGAUUUUUCUUCAAAGUUUGUGGUUGUGUUUUAUUAGUAAGAAUUGUUUGUGGUUGUGUCAUUGUAAGACUUUGGAAGGACUUAUUAGCCAAGAAAAGUUUGAAAAAUCUCGAGCCUGUAGUCUUGAUAAAAGGUUUUGUUGUUUUUUAUCUGGUCACAAGUUUCCUCAUUUAUAUUUUUUUACCUGUGCUACUCACUAAUAUAGCUAUUUUGGUUGUGCUCUGAUUUGCCUUUCUUAACUUUCAGCCACUUCCAUUUUGUUCAUGAGUUCGUAACUAUACUGAUGGACUCUGCAAUUUUGUUUUUUGGGGGUAUUGCCUUGGUUGUGGAAGACAUCAGGAGACUUCCUUGUGUACAUGGGUCUCAACGCAAAGAAUGAAAUAGUGCACACCCUUGCAUUUUUGGCCGGUGUUAUGUUUUGGUCACAGGUGCACAUAUUAACCUUCUUUUUUAUCUAAAUAUAAUGAAUGUCUGGUUUACUUGUUAUGAUGUGCCAUAUUCUGCUUUAAAAGUGAAUUUCUUCAAAUUAUGUCUUUAGAAUCAUGUUAACUAUAUUUAAGCAGCCAAGAAGCUUUAGUUAGAACUUAGAUGUGUAUAAUAAGUUAGCAAAAGUUGCAACACUUUUGUUACAAGAUUAAUAUCUAAACAGUUGGAGACGUUAGAUCUAGAGAAGGCAUCUCGUUCGCAUAUCCCACUUCCUUAGCUGGAAAGGAACAGUCUAACACAUAGUCCUAAAAAACACACACAUUAUGAGUACCUGGAAAAGUGCAACCUCCAUGUACUACCCAACUUUUGCUUGGUUUCUUUUUAUUUGGUUUUGAUUUGUGACACCAGCAACACAUCAAUGACCCUUUGCAAUUUUCUGCUAAUGAAGACUAUUUAUCGUUGAAACUAUUCCUUCAAAUUUACGGCUUGUAUGUUUGUGGCGGUAAAACCAAUCCAUCUUAUAGGUGGGACUUUUCCUAAUUACUCAUUUUCAAUCUCAACUUCCCAAUUAAUCAUUUUACGUCCAGCCACAGACAGUUUCAUGAAUGAAGAAAUGAAUACUUUGUCUUUGAAUAAAUGGUCCCUUGAUUCUAGUUGCUAGAUUAAGGAAUUACAUGUUUGGUUCUUUUUAUUUUAAAGAAUCUAUAUAAGAUGUUGUACAAAUAUUUCUUGUUUAAAUUAUUGAUUGAGAUGUCAAUUUCUUUAAAUCAUCUUCAAAUCUAAUUAAGGCAGGUCAAAAUUUUCUUCAACUUUCUUUUUAAAUUUCAUCAAAACACUAAUAGUCUAAUAUAAGAUGUUGUACAUAUAUUUGCUGGUAGU